UGCAAUAGAGCUCUGUUUUUUAGUGCACAAAAUUUCUGGACUCGCCUUGGGAACGGGAUCAGGAAAGCUGAUGUGUCUGCUCCAAAUUGUAUUUUCCAAAUGGAAAGCCGCCACUUGUUUUGCCAAAUAUUCCAAAGCACUCUUACCUUCUUUCUCCCUGUGCUUUUCAACAACCUUAACGGACUCUUCUCAGGGGACACGGUGGCUCAGUGGCUAAAGAGGCUGCGCUUGUCGAUCAGAAAGGUCACUGAAAAAUGCAUGACUAUGAGAAGCAAACUUUUAUUAGAUGCUUCUUGACUUAAAGAAAGCAUCAAACUAAAGGGAAGAGGCUUAAAUUAUGGGG